rnacentral:rRNA from 1 species
CACGUAGGGGGCAAGCGUUGUCCGGAUUUAUUGGGCGUAAAGAGCGUGUAGGCGGCCAGAUAGGUCCGUUGUGAAAACUCGAGGCUCAACCUCGAGACGCCGAUGGAAACCAUUUGGCUAGAGUCCGGAAGAGGAGAGUGGAAUUCCUGGUGUAGCGGUGAAAUGCGCAGAUAUCAGGAAGAACACCCGUGGCUAAGGCGGCUCUCUAGUACGGUACUGACGCUGAGACGCGAAAGCGUGGGGAGCGAACAGG